AAUCGAAGCAGUGAACUUAAGCCCCAGUAAACGGCGGCCGUAACUAUAACGGUCCUAAGGUAGCGAAAUUCCUUGUCGGGUAAGUUCCUACCCGCACGAAAGGCGUAACGAUUUGGGCACUGUCUCAACAACAGACUCGGUGAAAUUGGAAUUCCUGUGAAGAUGCCGGAUACCUGCGACAGGACGGAAAGACUCCAUGGAGCUUUACUGUAGCUUGAUCUUGGGUCUUGGUACUACAUGUACAGGAGAGGUGGGAGGCUUUGAAACCAGGACGCCAGGUUUGGCGGAGCCGUCGGGGGG
rnacentral:rRNA from 1 species